UAGCAUACGAUGACUGUGGUGUUCUGGU
rnacentral:sRNA from 1 species